AAGACCAUACUUUCAGGGAUCAUUUCUAUAGUUCAUUACUAGAGAAGUUCCUCUGAACAUGUAGAACACUGGCAACCAUGAGGAAGACAUGCAGUGUUCUGUCCUGAAUGUGAAGCCAGGUCUUGGUGUUGCUUUGCUGCAAGUACCAUUUGCCACUGAUAAUUGUUUUUGUCUCCCUCUGGGACAGUAAGGGAAAGGAUGCCGUCAGAGUGAU
ensembl:snoRNA U3 Small nucleolar RNA U3